rnacentral:rRNA from 3 species
UUAAUUGAAGAGUUUGAUCAUGGCUCAGAUUGAACGCUGGCGGCAGGCCUAACACAUGCAAGUCGAGCGGUAACAGAAAGUAGCUUGCUACUUUGCUGACGAGCGGCGGACGGGUGAGUAAUGCUUGGGAAUAUGCCUUUUGGUGGGGGACAACAGUUGGAAACGACUGCUAAUACCGCAUAAUGUCUACGGACCAAAGUGGG